UGCCCCGAUCCCAGCCCACUAGCCGCUCCUAGCCAAUUGCCCCACCCCCGCGCCUCCUCGUUGCUGUGCCGCCGGCGAUGUGCGGCGCUCCCGGCCACGCGCCGCUAGCCUCUUCCCGGCCACGCGCCCCGGCGACUCCUCCCUACUCCACUCCCCUUGAGUCGCGCCGCCCCCGACCACGUUGGGACUGGGACACGUCACCUCCCAGCUCCGUCCCAGUGACCAGUGCAACUCCUCCUUCAUGUGGCCUGUUGGUCGAGGGUCUGAUAAUGGACAUAACACAGCUACUGGAGAGGAGAUUAAAAUAUGGAAGAUAGCAACAGAGGGGGAAGCUGAGGCUGGUAGAUCCACUGAGCAAGAGUCCCAGACCCAGGUUUUUAGUAGAUGAAGGAGAAAGUCCGCGCCAAGAAGACCAUUCUGAUGGAUUCAAGAGAAUCAAGAGUGAAGCAUCAAGAUAUGAUAAAUAUGUCGAUGACAAAUAUGCCUACCGAGAUACUGAGUGGUUUCAGAUAUCUUUGGUUGAUUUGGAUUUGCUCACAUAGAAAAAGGAUGGCCACAUAUAUAUGGUAGUUACUUCCAUGUCACAAAGGUGUUCUUCAGUAGGUACUGAACAAUCACGUUGAACUUUCACAACAAUCACAUUCUCAGUGUUGUUGUCAUAUCAUAUAUCUCUAUAGUGUUUGAUCACAAUUUAGACAAUUGAUCUGAUGUUGCUCAUCUUUCAAUAUAAUAUCUUCUUUUUCCAGAUUUACA